AACAGAGAGCACUGGAAGCAACCUCCAGCAAGACCUGAAGGAGGAGUCCAUCCAGGUCUUGUCCUACUUCUAGGGAUGUAGAAGUCCAUGCGGGCAUCAUCCCUGGUGUGCAGGUGGGGACACGGACAGGCCUUGAGAGACACAAGGACUCAUCCAGGAUGGAGAACAGGCACUUGUUCACAGGGCUCCUCAUGGGACUGCAGACAGGAGCCAGUCCACAGAGCACCCUGCUCCAUCUCCCUGCACGAGGGGCUGGAGCCCCACACGAGCAACAGAGCCCAGGGCGGGCACAGG
rnacentral:lncRNA from 1 species